GGAACAAAAGGGUAAAAG
rnacentral:snRNA from 1 species